UUGUCAUUAUUUGAUGAGUUUCACUUAAUUAAAAGAAAUUUAAUAUAUUUAAAUGAGUUUUGAUUAUUCAUUACAAUCUGAUUGAAACUCAUCCAAAGAGAAAAUUUCAGAACAGUUGAAAAAAAUCCUAUAUUUAUUACCCUUUUUAUGAUAAUCAAGAUGAUCAUCCAUUCUUGAAUAAGUACACCAGUAUAUGAUCUCAUCAUUCCAGUCUGUUCGUGAUCUCCAUCAACAAAAACUUACUGACGUUUUCAGUGGAGACACCAGUACCACACAUGGCUGCUUUCUUUGUACUUGUACCUCUCUUUCUUGACUUGUCAUCUGAAAUUGAAUAUUCACUCUGUGGGAUGGUAGAAAGCUUCAACUGAAGUUUUUCAGAGUCCAAGGUAGUUCUCAAUGUUGAUGCAUGUUUUGCUGGUAAUAUCAGUAAUUUUUUUCAGAUUUUUUCAUGCUUUCUAUGUGGGGUGAUGGCCUUUUUUUCUUCUUUUCAUUUUUAUUGCUUUGAGUUUCAUUCACCGUUGAUGCAUUAAGAGUUUCUGGGAAAAUCGACCUGGGUCUGCUCAUGAACAUACUGGUGAAAACAGGUAGACAUGCAGAGGUCUGCUGGGCCUCCUCCCCAGUCAAAUUAUUGGCUCAAUCGCCUAGAGCCAGAGGCUAGUUUCAGCAACAGGCACUGCAAAGGGUGGAUGCAGAACCAUUCCCAGUUGAACCAAAGGCUGAUGUGUGAACCGCUCAAACAUGCCUUCGUAUUUGAUACUUCUAAUGUACAUUCUCGUCUGUUCUUGUUCUUUCUGAGUUCAUGGGAUGGUGUUUAUGAAUGGUAUUUUGAGAACUUUGAUCCUCGUUUUAGAUACAAUAUGUGGGAAUUGAAUUGCUCCAUGGGAUGAUGGUUGUCAGGGUUGUGUUCCAAAUUUUUCAGGAAUUUAUAAACAUAUACCGGAUCUUAUAUAUGCGUAUUAUAUCUUAAUGCAUCAGACUGCUCAACGCUGGCGGGCCAAAAUUAGGACCAAUGCAGUAACCUAAGUAGAAAAGAAAAAUAACUGGUAUCUACACAAUGAAGUGAUGCUACAAGGCCAUAUUCAGUCUUUUACAUGCCUGUGAACUCGGUCUAUUCUUUUUAUUCUACCAUACAAGAAGGAAAUUUUGAAGGCCACUCUGGAUUCUGUUUCAGAAGUCUUCUCACACUCCACAGUAUUCACAUCUUCUUGCUUGGCGGGUUCAGUCAUAAAUGAUAAUUCUAGAGGCAAUCCACAGCUGAGCUCAGGGCCUUCGGGGAAUGUCCUUGAAGAGGGCAUUCUUGGAUGACUCUGUAGUGCUUUCAGAUGGGAGCUGGGACUGCACCAUCUGAAAGCCUCCAUGAAGGCAACUCUUGUGCAGAACUUCUAGCCAACAUGGGGCCAAGAAGCGAUUCUCAAUUGACUGUAUAGCGAAACACUGCUAGGCAUAUCCAUGGUUUGUUGGAAGGAAAACAAAGUAAUCACAAGAGUCCUUCCAUUUGCUAACCCAAGAAUGCCUGACGAACAAAGUUUAAAACACUAAAUUCCAAGCAACAAGUCAUAGGGUUGGAAUUAGCCCCUUGCCAAGGCCCUUUCCUGAACCAUUGGAGAAUGUCAUUUGGUGUUUGCGGUAAUAAAGAGUUCUGGUUUGAUGCAGAGUAACCAGGCAAUAUAUUUAAUUCUCUGUUUUAA